GGCUGGACUGAAGGAUCCAGACUGGAGACUGGAAGCUCUCAGAAAGAAAAGUGUGUGUGAGCGAUGAAGAGGGGGAGGUGAGGAAGACGGAGCAAAACGUCCAGAUCCAAGAGGUUCUCCCAGUCAGAGGCAGCAGCUUACCGGCGCUUCCUGCUCCAGAGGUGAUCACGUUACGCGUGGCUCGUCCUGAAUGAGGCUCAGGUAGAUGUGGAACGAUGGAGAGGUUCUCCUGCCGCUGGAUCCUUCUGACUGGAAGCUUUAAUUUGCUGGUUCUCUGUCAACUUGAGACUCAGAGCAACUUCACCUUCAUGAACUCAUCAUCACCUCAACUCAUCAUCACAGAGACCAAGAGGAGCGUCUCCACAUAAACUCAGCUGGUUUUCAUUUACUCCAGGCUGAAAGAACCAGGAAGAGAGGAAUGUAGAAAGGUGGGGAUCAGGCUUUAACUGUUAGUGUAACGCUGGACACUUGACCGAUUGCUGCAUCCUCAGUGUACAAAGAAGCAUUAUUGCAGAUUCUUCCUCCAACCA